GGGCCCUUAGCUCAGUGGUAGAGCGCUUCUAUGACACGGAAGAGGCCGGUGGUUCGAUCCCACCAGGGCCCA
rnacentral:tRNA from 1 species